ACACAUCAUCCAGCACACACACACCCAUCAUCCAGCACACACACACACCCAUCAUCCAGCGCUCACACACCCAUCAUCCAGCACUCACACACCCAUCAUCCAGCACUCAUCCAGCACCCACACAUCAUCCAGCACACACACACCCAUCAUCCAGCACACACACACACCCAUCAUCCAGCGCUCACACACCCAUCAUCCAGCACUCACACACCCAUCAUCCAGCACUCACACACACAUCAUCCAGCACACACACACAUCAUCCAGCACUCACACACAUCAUCCAGCACUCACACACA